GGGAUGGUUUCCUACAGGAGACAAUGUCUCAGCUUGUCUUCCCAUCACAAAGCCUAUAUGUUGUCAGACACUGGAGGUGUUGAAAUGAUCAUAGUAUUUUAGAAAAAAAAGUCAUAGGAUUUCUAGCAUUCUAAGGAACUCAGAGACCACAGAUUUCAUUUCCUAAUUUCAUAGAUACAUAAAAUGAUUCAGUGAAAACUGUCAAUCACACCAUUGCAUCAGCUGAUAAAACUCACUUGGCAUACUGUUUUAUCCUAAAUAAUCUGUCAUUCAUUCCCAACUCAUAACAUUUAAUUCUCCUUGACCAUUUUAGUUGGUUUUAGAAGUUAAUAUAACUUUUUUCUUUUUCUUGGAAGAAGGAAAUAGGAGAUGUGAAUGGAUCAUUUUUUCCAAGAAUAAAAUAAUUUAAUACAUCUCUGCAUGUUUUAUUCUAUUAGAGAUUAAA
rnacentral:lncRNA from 1 species